rnacentral:pre_miRNA from 1 species
CUCGGGAGUGGGGGGAUCCCUCAGCCCAGAUUGUGAGAGAGCACAGGCCAGGCUGAGGGACCCCACCGGUGCACA